rnacentral:rRNA from 1 species
AUCCAGACUCCUACGGGAGGCAGCAGUGGGGAAUAUUGCACAAUGGGGGAAACCCUGAUGCAGCGACGCCGCGUGAGUGAAGAAGUAUUUCGGUAUGUAAAGCCCUAUCAGCAGGGAAGAAAAUGACGGUACCUGACUAAGAAGCCCCGGCUAACUACGUGCCAGCAGCCGCGGUAAUACGUAGGUGGCAAGCGUUAUCCGGAUUUACUGGGUGUAAAGGGCGUGUAGGCGGGACUGCAAGUCAGAUGUGAAAACCACGGGCUCAACCUGUGGCCUGCAUUUGAAACUGUAGUUCUUGAGUACUGGAGAGGCAGACGGAAUUCCUAGUGUAGCGGUGAAAUGCGUAGAUAUUAGGAGGAACACCAGUGGCGAAGGCGACUUUCUGGACUGUAACUGACGCUGAGGCACGAAAGUGUGGGGAGCAAACAGGAUUAGAUACCCUAGUACG